UACGGAAGGCAGCAGUGGGGAAUAUUGCACAAUGGGCGCAAGCCUGAUGCAGCCAUGCCGCGUGUAUGAAGAAGGCCUUCGGGUUGUAAAGUACUUUCAGUCGUGAGGAAGGUGUUAAGGUUAAUAACCUUAGCAAUUGACGUUAGCGACAGAAGAAGCACCGGCUAACUCCGUGCCAGCAGCCGCGGUAAUACGGAGGGUGCGAGCGUUAAUCGGAAUUACUGGGCGUAAAGGGCACGCAGGCGGUUAAUUAAGUUGGAUGUGAAAUCCCCGGGCUUAACCUGGGAAUGGCAUUCAAGACUGGUUAGCUAGAGUCUUGUAGAGGGGGUAGAAUUCCAUGUGUAGCAGUGAAAUGCGUAGAGAUGUGGAGGAAUACCGGGUGGCGAAGGCGGCCCCUGGGACAAAGACUGACGCUCAUGUGCGAAAGCGUGGGGAGCGAAACAGGGAUUAGAUACCCGU
rnacentral:rRNA from 1 species